rnacentral:misc_RNA from 1 species
AUAAAAUCAAUGUUAUAAUAUCCAGAUACUGGAUAUCAUUCAGAGCACAAAAGUUGCUAUUUUUAAAUGCUGUAUUGUAAAUUAUCAUUUUCCCAUGUAUAACAUUCAGAAUUUCUUUAACUUCCUUCUCUCCAUUAAAAUUCAUUAGCCCCCACUUUAUACUUACUUAUUUUGUAAUCAUAGAUAUUCUUCCAUUUAAAAAAAAAUCAUAUGUAUAUAUAAUAUAUGAAAUGCAUAAUACUCUCUAUUCUUGUACAUGAUUAGUAUUAGAUAUGUACUUUUCUUACAUUAAAUAUUAUAUAUAAAGAAAUUAUAUUUUUUUGCAUUGCAUGUUCUAAUUAAGUGCUGUCUCUAAUUUAGAUGUGGAAGAUGUUGACUUGGUCAUAUUAUUAUAAUCAUGAUCUUCAAAACUGGUCUCAUCAGGGUAAAAAAAAAUUAUUUUCUAACAAUUGUGGAAAGAUGUUUUCUGGUGAACAAAAUAUAUUAUUAUAAUUAUUUGACCAAUAAAAUGCAAAUAAUAUAAGUG